UACGGAGGAUCCAAGCGUUAUCCGGAUUCAUUGGGUUUAAAGGGUGCGUAGGCGGAAUGAUAAGUCAGUGGUGAAAUCCUGCAGCUUAACUGCAGAACUGCCAUUGAUACUGUCAAUCUUGAGUACAUUUGAUGUGGGCGGAAUGUGUCAUGUAGCGGUGAAAUGCUUAGAUAUGACACAGAACACCGAUUGCGAAGGCAGCUCACAAAACUGUAACUGACGCUGAGGCACGAAAGCAUGGGUAUCAAACAGG
rnacentral:rRNA from 1 species